rnacentral:misc_RNA from 1 species
UUUCCGUAGGUGAACCUGCGGAAGGAUCAUUACCAAAACACAUCUUUUCCACAUCGGGUUGGCGCUGCGUGGCCUCCGCGCACGCUACCCCUUUCGACCCUUUCACGGGUGUGAACGCAUUGCUUUUUGCUCCUGUCUCAGAGCCGGGUGGCGCUGCUUCGGCGGCGUUCACGGGCUCGCUUUUUUCCCCAAAACCCUAAACAUCAGCCUGAUUACAAACUCAAAACAACACACAAGAAAUCGCGUACAACUCUUAGCAACGGAUAUCUUGGUUCUC